rnacentral:rRNA from 1 species
CCUUUGGGGGUGGUGGGGACUCAUGGGAGACUGCCGGGGUCAACUCGGAGGAAGGUGGGGAUGACGUCAAAUCAUCAUGCCCCUUAUGUCUUGGGCUUCACGCAUGCUACAAUGGCCGGUACAAAGGGUUGCGAUACUGUGAGGUGGAGCUAAUCCCAAAAAGCCGGUCUCAGUUCGGAUCGUGGUCUGCAACUCGACCACGUGAAGUCGGAGUCGCUAGUAAUCGCAGAUCAGCAACGCUGCGGUGAAUACGUUCCCGGGCCUUGUACACACCGCCCGUCAAGUCACGAAAGUUGGUAACACCCGAAGCCGGGUG